rnacentral:rRNA from 1 species
AUACGGGGGCGACUAACGUUGUUCGGAUUUACUGGGCGUAAAGGGUGCGUAGGCGGACCUUCAAGUCGGAUGUGAAAACUAUAGGCUCAACUUAUAGCUUGCAUUCGAUACUGUCGGUCUUGAGUGAAUUAGAGGAAAGCGGAAUUCCAGGUGUAGCGGUGAAAUGCGUAGAUAUCUGGAGGAACACCAGUAGCGAAGGCGGCUUUCUGGGAUUAUACUGACGCUGAAGCACGAAGGCUAGGGGAGCAAACAGGAUUAGAAACCCUUGUAGUCC